rnacentral:rRNA from 1 species
UACAGAGGUCCCAAGCGUUGUUCGGAUUCACUGGGCGUAAAGGGUGCGCAGGUGGUGGGAUAAGUUCGAUGUGAAAGCUUCGAGCUCAACUCGGAAAUGGCAUUGAAUACUGUCCUGCUUGAGGGUCGGAGGGGAGACUGGAAUUCUCGGUGUAGCAGUGAAAUGCGUAGAUAUCGAGAGGAACACCGGUGGCGAAGGCGAGUCUCUGGACGAUUCCUGACGCUGAGGCACGAAAGCUAGGGGAG